rnacentral:rRNA from 1 species
CCCUUAGAUGUCCUGGGCCGCACGCGCGCUACACUGAUGAAUUCAACGAGCACUAACCUGUGCCGAAAGGUUCGGGUAAUCUUGUGAAAUUUCAUCGUGAUGGGGAUUGAUUAUUGCAAUUUUUAAUCAUAAACGACGAAUGCCUAGUAAGCGUGAGUCAUCAGCUCACGUUGAUUACGUCCCUGCCCUUUGUACACACCGCCCGUCGCUCCUACCGAUUGAAUGUGCCAGUGAAAAGUUCGGAUUGGAGAUAGGAGACGGCAACGUAUCCUAUUUCCGAGAAAAUCUUUAAACUUUCCCAUUUAGAGGAAGGAGAAGUCGUAACA